rnacentral:lncRNA from 1 species
UAAAAUAAAUAUUUUACUUUCUCUGUGACUAGGACUAGAGCUAGUACUUGUCUUCAUCUAUGGACUAGAGGGAGAGAUAGAAAUCUAUAUGAUCCAAGACUGCUGGGACGUCCUGAAUAUAAUGGCACGGCAGAAACAAGUAAACCUGGUGUGGAUUCCGACACAUUUAGGGCUUUCGGGAUCGAUGCAUUGGCCAGGCGCCCCCCUUGAGAACCCUAUAACUGCCGAACCUGACAUAGGGCUAAGUAACAGACAGGUAGCAAGUCUCUAGACCACUGAGCUCACAAAAUGUGCCCCCUGGGGGGAUGUUCUGUGGCUGCGCCCUUAAAGAUACGACAGAGUCGUGGAUAAAGGUGGAAGGGUGUAGUUCAGCCAAAGCAUUGAUUGGACCACCCUUUGAAUAAAAAACUAACGUUAGUUUAACCAACUAAACCCCAUUAACCAUUAAUUGGGUGGGGGAAUGGAAAAGAUCGUGGUGGUGUUUCUUCCUUUUUUUCAUUUAUAUAUUUAGUUAGUUAUAACGAAAUAAAAACUACUAUUUUCAGGUGUGGGCUUCCUCGACAUGAGAACCUUCGAAAUCUUUGAGUCAGGCGAAUUGGUUGUGAGCACGUAUUGGCAAAAUCGGCAGUUUAUGGUCUAAAUUCAAUAUUUAUUUGAAUUAGCCAUUUUGCUGGUGUGUGCUUGAAUGAAAACGGUAUACAACUGCGGAGUUGUCUUUCAACGAAAGGUCUACCAGGUUUUAAGGUAGGAGAUAGAGAGAGAGAGAGAUAGAUGGAGGUUCUCUGGAAGACAGUUUCUUCCGAGAAAGCUACACAUGGGCUAACGUGGCGACCCCAAAAAAUAUUCCAGCUCAAUCAGACACGACUUUCACCAAAACGAGUGCGAUUGAGUCGGUUAGUAAACCUGCAAAAGUAUAUCCUGGGAAAAGACGUUUGGUUCAACCAACUGCCAACAGAUGCUCCGAAUACGAUUUUCCCAGGGAGAACAGCUUGCUGCAAAUGAAAGAUUUUUGUACUGAAAAUAAAU